CAUGGGCGCCCAGCGGCCUCUACCUGCGGGGCCACUGAGCUCUGGCAAUCCCCAGACGUGUAAACCAGGCUUACCACCAGAGCAGAGCGCACUCAGUGGGUGAGGCCUUUCCUGCACUGACAGUGGUGGCCCCCGGCUGGGGCUCUCAGGCAGCUGCUGGGGCUUGGGUGGCCCGUCCGGGUGCAGGAAAAGGGAAAAGUCACUUUCACCCUGAAUGUCAUUCAACAAACUGAGAACCUACCACAUGCUAAGCUCUUGCUAAGAAACAGAAGUAAUCCUUGUCUUCCUGGAGCUUCCAUGUUGGGGGAGAUGGACAUGUGACAAAUCAACUCACACUUGGCUGUGGCUACAAUAGAGGUCAGUGCUGUGACAGAAGAGCAAGGGAACAAGAGUGGCGGUGGGAUCUGGAGGUCCAGGAAGCCCCUCUGCCAAAGGGACUUCUAAGCUGGAAACUGGAGGAGGAACCGGAGUUAACUUGGUGAGCAGCCAGCCGACCGGAGGAAGCCUGCAGGAGGCCCGAGGGACUGAGGGGACUGCGGUGAAGAGACAGUUCCCAAAGGGGCACUCAGGGCUGAGGGAUGGGAAAGAGAUUCAGUUCUAGGAAUUGAGAGGCCGGUGGAGUAGCAGGGUGGGAAGGGGGAGAGAGCGCUUUGGGAGGUGGAAGGCCCUGGGAGGAAUCUCGGUUUUAUUUUCAUCGCGAUGGGACUGUAUCAGGGCCAGAGGGGGUGCUGUUGCUGAUCCAGCUUGGAUGCCGUGGAGACGUAUUUGGGAGAUGGAAUCUAGAAACUGGGAGAAGUGAGGGGUGCCGGAGAGACAGGUGGCAUGAAUAGCUCUGGCUGGGACUUGCUGAGAUUCGGAUGCUUGUGUUGUCCGAUUGGAGAUGCCCGGAGAGGUAGACUCAGGGUCCUCAGCAAAAGGGGCAUUUCUGGCCACGGGAAAAGAUGGGCUCAGCUCAGGAGAGAAGAGGGCCAAGGUGAACUAGGGAGGUCACCACUCCCAGGUCUGGGAGAGAAGGCGGCGUCAGAGGUGACUCAGAAGAGGAG